rnacentral:rRNA from 1 species
CCUUAUUGGGCGAGCGUUGUCCGGAAUUACUGGGCGUAAAGGGUGCGUAGGUGGCCUUUUAAGUUGGAUGUGAAAUACCCGGGCUUAACUUGGGGGGUGCAUCUAAUACUGGGAGGAUAGAGUGCAGGAGAGGGAAGCGGAAUUCCUAGUGUAGCGGUGAAAUGCGUAGAUAUUAGGAGGAACACCAGUGGCGAAGGCGGCUUUCUGGACUGUAACUGACACUGAGGCACGAAAGCGUGGGGAGCAAACAG